rnacentral:rRNA from 1 species
UAGGGAAUCUUCGGCAAUGGGGGCAACCCUGACCGAGCAACGCCGCGUGAGUGAAGAAGGUUUUCGGAUCGUAAAGCUCUGUUGUAAGUCAAGAACGAGUGUGAGAGUGGAAAGUUCACACUGUGACGGUAGCUUACCAGAAAGGGACGGCUAACUACAUGCCAGCAGCCGCGGUAAUACGUAGGUCCCGAGCGUUGUCCGGAUUUAUUGGGCGUAAAGCGAGCGCAGGCGGUUUGAUAAGUCUGAAGUUAAAGGCUGUGGCUCAACCAUAGUUCGCUUUGGAAACUGUCAAACUUGAGUGCAGAAGGGGAGAGUGGAAUUCCAUGUGUAGCGGUGAAAUGCGUAGAUAUAUGGAGGAACACCGGUGGCGAAAGCGGCUCUCUGGUCUGUAACUGACGCUGAGGCUCGAAAGCGUGGGGAGCGAACAGGAUUAGAUACCCUGGUAGUCCACGCCGUAAACGAUGAGUGCUAGGUGUUGGAUCCUUUCCGGGAUUCAGUGCCGCAGCUAACGCAUUAAGCACUCCGCCUGGGGAGUACGACCGCAAGGUUG